UUCAUUUUCAUCUAUUUUCCUUUUGUUUUAUUUUUUCUUGUCUUCCCCACAUUUUAUUUUCUUCCCCAAAUUUCCUUUCUUCUUCUACUCUGCUUUGUUCCACCACCAAAUUACCGUCCCGCUGCCUUCAAUGAGACAUCAGCCAUCGAGCCCACUAAUCUAACGAACCAAUUCAGAUCCAGAGAAAGUCCAGAGAGAACGGAAUAGUUAUGGCUUCGAAGGCACCAAGUUGGGUAGAUCAAUGGGGUGCAUGAGGAAUUGGUGCAAUGGAAAAUGAGAAUACUUUACAGCAACAGAGAAGUGGGCACAAUAGCCAUUUUAAUGUGUUGUUUAAUAUAGAAUAUACAAUGCUCACCUCCUUUUCCAAAUCUCUUUUUGGUGGUACAUGUUGUUUCAUAAUUAUAUUUUGGUGGUACAUGUUUUAAUUUUAUUUUGAAAAAUAGAAUGUGUUGAACAUUUUACAAGUUUAUUAUGGGAAUUAUUAGUUUAUUA